UGAUAAUUGAAUGGCCGCAGUAAUUUGACUGUGCAAAGGUAGCAUAAUCAUUAGUUUUUUAAUUAAAAGCUUGUAUGAAUGAUUGGACGAGAUAAAAUCUGUCUCUUAAUUAAUAUUAGAAUUUAAUUUUUAAGCAAAAAAGCUUAAAUAUUUAUGAAAGACGAGAAGACCCUAUAGAUCUUUAUUUAUGAAGUAUAAUUUUUAUUAAGAUUAAUUAAUUAUUUAUAUUUAAAUAAAUUUUAUUGGGGUAAUAGAAAGAUUAAUAAAAUUCUUUUUUAUUUAUAACAAUUAUAAUUGAUUAGAAGAUCCAUUAUUAGUGAUUAUAAGAUUAAGUUACCUUAGGGAUAACAGCGUAAUUUUUUUAGAGAGUUCAUAUCGAUAGAAAAGAUUGCGACCUCGAUGUUG
rnacentral:rRNA from 1 species